UACGGGGGGGGCAAGCGUUGUUCGGAAUUACUGGGCGUAAAGGGCUCGUAGGCGGCCAACUAAGUCAGACGUGAAAUCCCUCGGCUUAACCGGGGAACUGCAUCUGAUACUGGAUGGCUUGAGUUCGGGAGAGGGAUGCGGAAUUCCAGGUGUAGCGGUGAAAUGCGUAGAUAUCUGGAGGAACACCAAUUGCGAAGGCAGCUCGCUGGGACGCUACUGACGCUGAGACGCGAAAGCGUGGGGAGCAAACAGG
rnacentral:rRNA from 1 species